UUUCUGAUUUUCCUUUAUUAGAUAUUUCAUGUAACAGGGAAUGUGGCCCCAGGAUAAAUGUGCCCAGCGCAGAAGGGGGAGGAGCCACGCUACCAGUGAGGGCACAGGAGCAGAUAAAAUACAUCGCUUGGGUUAUAAGGGAGAAUCAUUUUGCUACAACAAAACCCAAUGAGCCCGUUGAAAUCCUUGAUAAUCAGUAUGUGAGGAGAUUGCGCAGUGAGACAGACGGAUCCUUAACCCUCACGGAUCUAACCAAUCAGGACCAGGGAAUCUACCAAGCAAACAUUCGCUCGCAAUCAAAUCAGCUGUGUGACCAACUGUAUCAUCUCCAAGUCUAUAAACAUCUCACAUCAGAAGAUAUCCUGAUCCAUCCAAAUGUCACUCACAAUGAGACCUGUAACGUUACACUCACCUUGUCCUGUACAGUGAUUGGCUCAGAUGUGACUCUCACCUGGAAUAACACAAACAGCCCCGGCACAGAAGUGACCAAUCACACGCUCCGUGUCUAUAAUGCUCAGUCACAUGUUACAUACAGCUGUACCGCCCGGAACCCAAUCAGCGAGGCUUCCAGAACUGCACAUAUUCCUGUAACUUGUGAUAGAGCUCCAACGUCCGAAGGAAAUUCUACAUCCCAAUGGUGGAAGAUUGCAUUGGGUGUAAUAGCAGGGGGGAUCAUUGUGGCUGCAGUUUAUUGCCGAUGUAAAAGUUAGAAGGGCAGCCAAUAAUACAAAGGGCCCAUCAGACGAUAAUCCCAGCAGACCAUCCUACAACCAAUUGGUGUGAAGCCUUGAAUGGAACUGAGGCUCAGGGUGAGGAGAGGGAAUCCUUCCCCCACACAUAGGUGGGAAUAAUGAAGAUGAAGGGAAGCCUGGCACCUCUGAAAAGAGACCGAAUGCCAUGUAUAGUUGUAUUUACCCUCAUUCUCUACCAACCAAUCCAACUCCACCCAGAGACUUAAAGUGGCAACAGAACCUGCGGCUAAACGGCUUCCCUAAGGCACCUCUUCAGUAUUAUAAUACGGCAGGGCUAUUUUUCUCCUAUCUUGCUGCUAUGGCUUAUUCAGCUUUUUAUUAAUAGGUCUUUAUACAUUUCAUUUAGUACCAAAACUUGUUUUGUUUUAUAAUAUAUAUGUUCUUUGCCUAUAAAAUAUCUUUUAAUGAGGAACACACAAGCUGCCUUACUCACACUCCCAGUAUGGAAAUUCCUCUUUGAGAUUCCCUGUCAUCCACCUCUUUCUUGGUUUCCAUUUUGGAUUUGCAAGAUUCUGUUCAAGGGAGUAUACAGUGUUAUAUUCUUGGCUGGGCAUGCUCUAUACUGGGGGUGGGUGGCGGGGGGAGAAAGCAUUUCACCACUUGCAAAACAGAAGGGGUAGUUUAGCUACUAAAAUGCUCAUGUGGCCUGGGCUAUGUGGGUCAGACCGCUAGAAUGGUUUGUGUGCGUCUUAAUGAACACAAAAGUGUUAUUAAAAACUACAAGCCUGAUGAUGAAAAACAAGGUAAGGAUAAGGAGAAAGUUAAAAGUAAAUUUAAGAAAGAAACUCUCCUAGGAAAACAGUUUUUUGAGCAAAAACAUUCGGUAACACAAAUCAGUGGGCAGGUACUAGGAAAGAUUUCGUGCUCAGUGGGGGCAUCUGCAAACAAAAAACUGCUCAGAGGCAUAUUGGAUUUGCAAACUUGAAACACCGUUCCCUAAGGGGUUAAUUGAAAAUUGCAGUUUGUCUUGUUUUUUGUAAAUAGUAUUUGAUACAGAUUCUUUCUUUUCACAGAUAAUCCAGCACCGGUGGGGGAUAACAGAAAUUACAGUAAAGGUAACAGCCCCACUGGUGAAAAAGAGUUUUUCUUUAAUAAUUGCUUUGCGAUAUAGUACAUGAAUUUUCUCUUUAAUUAUAUUUGAGUUUCACAUAUGUUGUUUGCACAAAUACUGUAUAUGCUCUGAAUAACAAGGCCAACUGACAUUUAUACUCUGGAUAUUGCGAGAAUGGACUUCUGCAGAAAUUUAAAUUGGUCUUUUUUGUAUAACUUUUUUUAAAAAAUGUUUUUGUGCUGGACUUUUUUCACAAACAACUGACAUUUAUACUCUGAAUAUUGUGAGAAUGGACUUUUGCAGAAAUUUAUAUUGGUCUUUUUUGUAUUUGACUUUUUAAAAAAAUGUUUUUGUUUGUUCACAAACAAUGUGUUCCUGAAUAGGAUUGGUACUUAAUUAUCCUGUCAGUCACUCACCUACUGAUUAGGGGUGGGGUUUUAUUACUGGUUUAAGCUUUGUUUUUUCACUGUGUGGCCAUCCUGACGAAGGGAGGGAGUGCCCCCCCGAAAUGUUGCUUUUUUUUUGUGGUACAUUGGCAUAAUAAAUGGGGUAAGCUUCCCAGCUGAAAUUUUGCUGUCUCUAUUUCUGCUUUGAUCUAUACAUUGUUGGGGCGCAGCCAUACGCCUAGGAGACUUUGCACCACAGA